CCUACGGGUGGCAGCAGUAGGGAAUAUUGCUCAAUGGGGGAAACCCUGAAGCAGCAACGCCGCGUGGAGGAUGAAGGUUUUCGGAUUGUAAACUCCUUUUGUUAGAGAAGAUAAUGACGGUAACUAACGAAUAAGCACCGGCUAACCCCGUGCCAGCAGCCGCGGUAAUACGGAGGGUGCAAGCGUUACUCGGAAUCACUGGGCGUAAAGAGCGCGUAGGCGGGAUAGCAAGUCAGAUGUGAAAUCCUAUGGCUUAACCAUAGAACUGCAUUUGAAACUGUUAUUCUAGAGUAUGGGAGAGGUAGGUGGAAUUCUUGGUGUAGGGGUAAAAUGCGUAGAGAUCAAGAGGAAUACUCAUUGCGAAGGCGACCUGCUAGAACAUAACUGACGCUGAUGCGCGAAAGCGUGGGGAGCAAACAGGAUUAGAUACCCCAGUAGUC
rnacentral:rRNA from 1 species